AUCCCAUACCACCACUGGAAUGAGUGGUAUGCCAAACGCUCCGGCGCCGAAGGAUGUGGCUGCGGCCGAUUAGGUAGACGGUGGGGUAACGGCCCACCGUGCCAAUAAUCGGUACGGGUCAUGAGAGUGAGAACCCGGAGACGGAAUCUGAGACAAGAUUCCGGGCCCUACGGGGCGCAGCAGGCGCGAAACCUUUACACUGCACGACAGUGCGAUAGGGGGAUCCCAAGUGCACAGGCAUAGCGCCUGUGCUUUUCGGUACCCUAAGGCGGUACCAGAAUAAGGGCUGGGCAAGACCGGUGCCAGCCUCCGCGGUAAUACCGGCAGCCCAAGUGAUGGCCGAUCUUAUUGGGCCUAAAGCGUCCGUAGCUGGCCGCGCAAGUCCAUCGGGAAAUCCUCCUGCUCAACAGGUGGGCGCCCGGUAGAAACUGCGUGGCUUGGGA
rnacentral:rRNA from 1 species